UGUUCUAUCCACAUAGAGGAAAUGGAGGAUAAGGAUGUUCUAUCCACAUAGAGGAAAUGGAGGAGGGAUAAGGAUGUUCAAUCUACUUCCUCUAUGUAGGUAGAACAUCCUCACCACCAUACUGUAGGUAGAACAUCCUCACCACCAUACUGUAGGUAGAACAUCCUCACCACCAUACUGUAGGUAGAACAUCCUCACCACCAUACUGUAGGUAGGACAUCCUCACCACCAUACUGUAGGUAGGACAUCCUCACCACCAUACUGUAGGUAGAACAUCCUCACCACCAUACUGUAGGUAGAACAUCCUCACCACCAUACUGUAGGUAGAACAUCCUCACCACCAUACUGUAGGUAGAACAUCCUCACCACCAUACUGUAGGUAGAACAUCCUCACCACCAUACUGUAGGUAGAACAUCCUCACCACCAUACUGUAGGUAGAACAUCCUCACCACCAUACUGUAGGGAGAACAUCCUCACCACCAUACUGUAGGUAGAACAUCCUCACCACCAUACUGUAGGUAGGACAUCCUCACCACCAUACUGUAGGUAGAACAUCCUCACCACCAUACUGUAGGUAGAACAUCCUCACCACCAUACUGUAGGUAGAACAUCCUCACCACCAUACUGUAGGUAGAACAUCCUCACCACCAUACUGUAGGUAGAACAUCCUCACCACCAUACUGUAGGUAGAACAUCCUCACCACCAUACUGUAGGUAGAACAUCCUCACCACCAUACUGUAGGUAGAACAUCCUCACCACCAUACUGUAGGUAGAACAUCCUCACCACCAUACUGUAGGUAGAACAUCCUCACCACCAUACUGUAGGUAGAACAUCCUCACCACCAUACUGUAGGUAGGACAUCCUCACCACCAUACUGUAGGUAGAACAUCCUCACCACCAUACUGUAGGUAGAACAUCCUCACCACCAUACUGUAGGUAGAACAUCCUCACCACCAUACUGUAGGUAGAACAUCCUCACCACCAUACUGUAGGUAGAACAUCCUCACCACCAUACUGUAGGUAGAACAUCCUCACCACCAUACUGUAGGUAGAACAUCCUCACCACCAUACUGUAGGUAGAACAUCCUCACCACCAUACUGUAGGUAGAACAUCCUCACCACCAUACUGUAGGUAGAACAUCCUCACCACCAUACUGUAGGUAGAACAUCCUCACCACCAUACUGUAGGUAGA